rnacentral:rRNA from 1 species
UGCCCUAGUAACGGCGAGUGAAGCGGCAACAGCUCAAAUUUGAAAUCUGGCUCUUUUAGAGUCCGAGUUGUAAUUUGCAGAGGGCGCUUUGGCUUUGGCAGCGGUCCAAGUUCCUUGGAACAGGACGUCACAGAGGGUGAGAAUCCCGUACGUGGUCGCUGGCUAUUGCCGUGUAAAGCCCCUUCGACGAGUCGAGUUGUUUGGGAAUGCAGCUCUAAAUGGGAGGUACAUUUCUUCUAAAGCUAAAUAUUGGCCAGAGACCGAUAGCGCACAAGUAGAGUGAUCGAAAGAUGAAAAGCACUUUGGAAAGAGAGUCAAACAGCACGUGAAAUUGUUGAAAGGGAAGCGCUUGCAGCCAGACUUGCUUACAGUUGCUCAUCCGGGUUUUUACCCGGUGCACUCUUCUGUAGGCAGGCCAGCAUCAGUUUGGGCGGUAGGAUAAGGUCUCUGUCACGUACCUCCUUUCGGGGAGGCUUAUAGGGGAGACGAC